rnacentral:lncRNA from 1 species
CAAAAAUUUCUGCAAAAUGGUUCAACUCUAAUGGAAGUCAAAUCAAUGGCAGCAGUUUAUACCAAGCGAGAUUAUGUCAAGUUGUCCCCACAGCAGAUGGUGUCUGACUGAACACAGUUCUGGAAAAAAUGGCCAAGGAAGAUAUAAUUAUUUGUGUUGAAGCAGCAGCCAAGUCAACCCUAAAUGACACCAAAGGACAAAUCAAUGUGGAACUUGAAAUUGAGCUUCAGGGAACUGAAGCCAGACAGGCUUACGCAGACAUUUUUCUAGUCUUAAUUGCCUUAGGGCAAUUAGACACAACACUUUGUGACUGGAGUUUUCAUUUGUGUGGUGGCAUCAUCUUCCCCUUGCCUAAAGCUGACGUUGUCAUCCUCAGCGAAGAGAAUUUCGAGUUGAAUAAAGACCAACGACUCCUCACUGAACUGGCUGGAAUGGAAAGUGAGUGAUGAAUAUCAUCUUGCCAUUUUAACACCUGAACCAUGAACAUCUGGAAUUGGAACUGGAACCUUAACCUGACCCUGGAAAAAAGCUGUCAAAUCCUACCUAAAAUCUACUUUACCGUACAUCAAGAAAACGCAAUUAAAAUAGCUGCCGUUUGGAUAAGGAAACCGUGGCCCAGCGGUUUCUUGUCAUCGAGGAAUCCUCGGUCACGUCGGUCUGUAUUCUUUAACGACAAGCACUGCCACGAGAGUUAAUCCCAGGCCCGCCAACUCAUCUACUUGGCGAGUAAAGACUACAGAAACAAGGUGCUGAUGGACCAAUGGAGUGAAGAAUGUGAUCGACUAGCUGUAACAGCAUCCGACGGAUCAAUUUUACCAGUCUCCUAGACCAGAUACAAAUUUGUAACUGCGCACCACCUUCAUCUUUUGUCAUCAGUAAUUGCACAGCUUAGGUCGACUGAUUCCCGUGCGUUCAGGGGUAUCCAAAGUCCAAACCAUCAACAACUGAGCACGUCCUGUGGCACCUCUUCGGUUCUCCUUCGAGACGGGGACGAGACUACUGGAUUUGCAGGUUAGGUUUUCUCAACGUUCAUCGCUUUCUAUUUCGCACUCCCUUGUCACACUUUUGACUCCCUUUGUCACAACAUUUAUUUUUCUAGUGGUUGCGUAUUCCAUCGCUGUCUCUUUGCUUUUCUUCAAUGAGCAGCAAUCUCUCCUACUCCUACUUAGCUUUUUAACAGGAAGAUGUAGCGCUUGUAGGAUGUAGGAAUGUUUGCUAGUAAUCGUUUAUUCACGGGGUAUUAUGUAAACAUUCUCCGGCUGUUGUUGGCGACUGGGUUUGGGAACUUAUUUAGAAAGUUGUCUAACUUGUAUUCUUGCAUCACCAGAAGUCCUCGAGGAACGAUUCUCUUUUUGUUUUUAAAGCGAUCGAAUUUAAUCUGCUUAAUUGAACCGGUUGAACUUGGGGUUUACGUUUAUUGUGCUCACCAUUUGUGAGUUAACCAAGCCAAUUAAAAAUUGCGUGCGCUUUUAUAAAAAUGAGUGAAGAUUAUUCGAAAUCAAGUUGGUAGAACGCAGAACACGGUAGAUUUCAGAAUUAUCUUUUCAUUUGCUAACGAUCAGUUCAACGUCCGCGAAACCUGUACCCACCGUUUUCAUUUAGUAUUUUGUGUACUCUUGUAUAUCAUUGCAGGAAAUCGAUUUUUUUUUUGAACAAAGUGUAAUCAAAUUUCU